GAUGAACGCUAGCGGCAGGCUUAAUACAUGCAAGUCGAGGGACAGCACAGGUAGCAAUACUGGGUGGUAACCGGCAAACGGGUGCGGAACACGUACACAACCUUCCUUUAAGAGGGGGAUAGCCCAGAGAAAUUUGGAUUAAUACCCCGUAAUAUAGCUUGAUGGCAUCAUCGGACUAUUAUAGCUACGGCGCUUAAUGAUGGGUGUGCGGCUGAUUAGAUAGUUGGCGGGGUAACGGCCCACCAAGUCUACGAUCAGUAGCUGAUGUGAGAGCAGGAUAAGCCACACGGGCAAUGAGACACGGGCCCGACUCCUACGGGAGGCAGCAGUAAGGAAUAUUGGUCAAUGGACGCAAGUCUGAACCAGCCAUGCCGCGUGAAGGAUUAAGGUCCUCUGGAUUGUAAACUUCUUUUAUUUGGGACGAAAAAGGGUCUUUCUAGAUCAACUGACGGUACCAGAUGAAUAAGCACCGGCUAACUCCGUGCCAGCCGCCGCGGUAACAC
rnacentral:rRNA from 1 species